rnacentral:sRNA from 1 species
UUUGAAUUGCUGAAUUAUAAGAAGCAUGCCUUGGACUUUGGGCUAAUACUCUUACCCUACAUAUUGAGUGAAAUUUCAUCUUAUUUCCAACACCAUUACAUCCUCAGCAGUUUUUUGUGGUUCAUAAAUAUUCUUUGUAACUUUUAUUUCUUAUGUAUCAUUCUUUGUUCCCAAGUGUCUUUAUUUUUCUUCAAGGUAGAAGAUGUUGUUAGCCCAAAUAAAUCGAGAUUCUCAGGGAAUGACAGAGUUUCCUGGAGGAGGGAUGGAGGCGCAACAUGUUACCCUGUGCUUGACAGAGGCAGUCACCGUGGCAGAUGGUGACAACUUAGAAAAUAUGGAAGGCGUAAGCUUGCA